rnacentral:rRNA from 1 species
CAGUAGCCGCGGGAAUACAGAGGGUGCGAGCGUUAAUCGGAUUUACUGGGCGUAAAGCGUGCGUAGGCGGCUUCUUAAGUCGGAUGUGAAAUCCCUGAGCUUAACUUAGGAAUUGCAUUCGAUACUGGGAAGCUAGAGUAUGGGAGAGGAUGGUAGAAUUCCAGGUGUAGCGGUGAAAUGCGUAGAGAUCUGGAGGAAUACCGAUGGCGAAGGCAGCCAUCUGGCCUAAUACUGACGCUGAGGUACGAAAGCAUGGGGAGCAAACAGGAUUAGAUACCCCCGUAGUCCCUGUCUCUAACAC